rnacentral:rRNA from 1 species
CAGCCGCCGCGGGAAUACGUAGGGUGCAAGCGUUAAUCGGAAUUACUGGGCGUAAAGCGUGCGCAGGCGGUUAUAUAAGACAGAUGUGAAAUCCCCGGGAUCAACCUGGGAACUGCAUUUGUGACUGUAUAGCUAGAGUACGGCAGAGGGGGAUGGAAUUCCGCGUGUAGCAGUGAAAUGCGUAGAUAUGCGGAGGAACACCGAUGGCGAAGGCAAUCCCCUGGGCCUGUACUGACGCUCAUGCACGAAAGCGUGGGGAGCAAACAGGAUUAGAUACCCCCGUAGUCCCUGUCUCUUAUAC